rnacentral:lncRNA from 1 species
CUGUACACUCAAGGAGCUCACACUCUAAUAUGGGAGACAACAUUCAACAAAGAAGGUACAAUCAAGAGAAACAGGUACAGUCUCUGAGAGAAAACACUAAGACUAAGGAGGACUAGAAAAGGUUUCUUGUAAAAGGUAGGACCUUAACUGAGGCUGGAAGAAAGCUAGGAAUGUCUGGAGGCAAAUAUGAGGAGGGAGAUCAUUGAAAACAUGGGCUAUCCAAGAUAUUUUUUGCCCAGAACAUGGAAUUUAUGCAAAUUUAUAUAAUUUAUAUUUGCAGGACUAGAAGCUCAUUGAGGACAGGAUUUAACAUUCAUUUCUUUGUAUUCUUAGCACCCAGUACAAUUCCUGGAACUUAGAAUUACAGUCAUCAGGAUGAAUCAGAAGUUCAUCUCUUGAGAUAUGGAAGAAACCAUAAUGACCAUGGAAGCCAAUGAGUCUACUGAUGGAUCACUUAGUCAAAAUUCAGUCAAGAUUCCAGUUUAAGGAAGAGGUCCAAUCCAGAGGUGUUUUCUUUCCUUUCCAGGCCUGUCUUGAAUGAAAUCUGACAGAAGAUGUUACAGCAGUUUUCUCUCUGGAAAUGGUUACCUUUCGGGAUUAUUCUUGGCACUCUCUUCCCAUUUGGCUCUGGCCAGCACGACGAUGUUGGUCCCAGAAAGAACUAAGAACUACAAAGAAGAGGUGGAAAUUGAUACAUGGCAAAUAUAUACUUAAUGUCUGGAACGAUUCUCAACAUUUCAUGUUAUUUCAAAAUGCAGAAGAUUAGCCUGUGGAUGUAGAAAGUUCACCUUCUAAAGAUUCCCUGGCAGUCUUUAAACAAAAAUAAUAUUCUUCCUACAUGUGGGGUAAAUAGUAGGAUUUCAAAUUCAGCUAAAGUUUUGACUGGAUGAUUUCUGAGGUUUGAUAUCCUAUGAUUCUGUGACUAUAUCCAUGAUUAUAUUUGAAAUGAUGUUGGUGGUAUAGGGUUUAGGUUUAAUAUAUUCAGUGAUCUGGGAUAGCAAUAAAACUGCCACAUAACCUCCA